rnacentral:rRNA from 1 species
UACGGGAGGCAGCAGUGGGGAAUAUUGGGCAAUGGAGGAAACUCUGACCCAGCAACGCCGCGUGGAGGAAGAAGGUUUUCGGAUCGUAAACUCCUGUCCUUGGAGACGAGUAGAAGACGGUAUCCAAGGAGGAAGCCCCGGCUAACUACGUGCCAGCAGCCGCGGUAAUACGUAGGGGGCAAGCGUUGUCCGGAAUAAUUGGGCGUAAAGGGCGCGUAGGCGGCUCGGUAAGUCUGGAGUGAAAGUCCUGCUUUUAAGGUGGGAAUUGCUUUGGAUACUGUCGGGCUUGAGUGCAGGAGAGGUUAGUGGAAUUCCCAGUGUAGCGGUGAAAUGCGUAGAGAUUGGGAGGAACACCAGUGGCGAAGGCGACUAACUGGACUGUAACUGACGCUGAGGCGCGAAAGUGUGGGGAGCAAACAGGAUUAGAUACCCUGGUAGUCCACACUGUAAACGAUGAAUGCUAGGUGUAGGGGGUAUCGACCCCUUCUGUGCCGCAGUCAACACAAUAAGCAUUCCGCCUGGGGAGUACGGCCGCA